GGCCAACGAAAUUUAUUAAAACUUCUGGUUAACCCACUGUUAAAUCAGAAGGAUUCACCAAAUUAUACACCAUAGACCAUACAAUUCAUACACCAAAUACAUUUUAUAACCUCACACUUAUUAAAUCAAAAUGGCACCAAUUCUCCCAGGUGAGACUAAGGGCGUUUGCUCUACUCUUUAGCCACAUGUACCCAAGCAUUUUUAUCUCUUCUUUCAUCCUUGUCAAAUUCGCUUGUUUGCCAUUGAAGGUAGCUUCGUUCCGCGUCCUCCAUAUUACCCAAACUACGGUUUGAAUCACCAGAGAUAUUACCUUCCGCCACUUAACGGAUCCUCUAUUUUGAUUUUGGAUGAUUGCAAGAUCCUUCAAUUCCAAAAUAUAAAUAGACUUUAGCCUACACCAGUGAGACACUAAGUCCCAUAUCUGCUCCGUUACGCGACACGAACCGAAGAGGUGCAAGGUUGAUUCUUCCGCCUCAUUACAUAGUUUACACCAAGUGUUUUGCACCAUGACGUUUCUUCUUGCUAGGGCCGCAACCGUAGGAACUUUAUCUUGUAUAACCCUCCAUAAUAGGAAAUUUACCUUAACUGGAGCCCAAUUAUUCCAUACAUUCUCUAUACCCAGAUCUGAACAUGCUUGUUUAUGAAGCAAAUUUCUGAUACUUCUGACUGAAAAAGAACCAGAAUCAUCCCCAACCCAGACCCACUUAUCCUUCCCAUGCCCAAAACCGAAGGCCUGCAGCGCUGCCACCAAGCAGCCGAGCUCUGUUAAUUCCGUAUCAGACGUUGGAGACCUGGUCCAAGAGGUUACAAGUUCCGCUGCAUCUGCUUCAAUGUUGACUCGAUCCUUCAGCAAUACAUUUUUUUGCUCUCAAGUUGUGCGCACCGUGAGUUGUCUUCAAUCCUUUAACCCACUCUACCUUUCUCGAGUCCCUGACUCCCCGUAAGUUUACCGAUAGAUAAUUCAUUGGGGACCCGCUUGACCACCUUCACCCUCAAUUAAUAUCUCCAUCUGAUUGUGAGCUGAUUCCAAAUUGAAACCCACUUUAGAUCCCAACUUUAUUGUCUCGUCAGCCUCUUUUGAGCUCCCGCUAGUGUCAUUUGCCUCACGCUGUGUAACCGGAGAAAUAUUGGGAAAGUCGUCAUCUUGUCGACCAUGCUGAACGACUCCGUCGUCUUCUACCGCCGGUGGGGUUACCUCUCCACGGUGGUUGUGCAUUGUAGCUACUGGGUUUUGAUCUAUUUGGUC
rnacentral:lncRNA from 1 species